AAUGACAUCGACUCCUAUCCUUAUGGAAGCUAUGAAUAUGAAGAUGUGCAGGAAGAGAAUUAAUGCUUCUGUCACAUGCUGUUCUCUCCUGCGGUUUGCCUCUGGGUCAUGGACAGAGAGGGAUGAGUGCCUGGGUGAUCCAUAUAGUACCUAUGUGAAGAACACUAUGGACGUUAGCGGAGAUAUACAGCGUGCAUGGAUGUGUCCCCAGGGAGAACUACAAUAUCUCCGAGACUGCCAUGAUGUACUCAAUAAACAUUGAAAACUAUUUACCA